CUUUGGAUGAUGAAAACCGAAAUUGAUAUUGUUUUGUGAAUUAUAGUUGAAUGUAUAUGUCCACAUGGGUACUUGGGUACCUUGGAGAUUAUCAUCUUUGAACAGCUCUAUACAUUCCAACUUGUGUGGUUUUGUCUCGGAAAUGGUUAUAAGGUUUGUUUUAUUAUUUUGCAGUUGAAGCCAAAUAUGGAUACAUAAAAGGAUCCAAUGGCUGGAAUUAUGGAUUUGAUGAAGAACAUGUAUGAGGACGGAGAUGAUGACAUGAAGUGGACGAUUGCAAAAGCAUGGACAGAUGCAAGAUCUAGGAAAACAGCUAACCCAUUGCAGGGAUACCGGUGAAAUUCCCUCAGCCUGAUGAUCAAAUGGUAGAAAUAGGAGGUUUACCAGUAAUGCAUCUAGGAGUUUGAUUAUACUGAAUGAGUGGUACACUUGUGAAAGUUACUCUAAGGGUGUCCUCAGAUGUUGCUGCUGAAAUUUAGCUACCAGAUGAAUUGCUUUCAUUUAAGAAAAAACACCCAUUUGAGCGACUAACUCAGAUGUUGCUGCUAAAAUUUAGCUACCAGAUGAAUUACUUUCAUUUGAGAAAAAACUCCCAUUUGAGCGACUAACUCAUGAGUGGGCUUCAUUUAAUAAAAUAAAAUAAAAUAAAAAGCUAUUCACAAGGUAGUGCAUCUGCUGUAGUCCAAAAUCCAUGUUGGUUAAUUCUCUUCAACUAUCAAUUAUUUAUUUAUUUAUUGUACACAUUUGGCCUUGCUGAUGAUAGUACCAGCCUGAUUUGUAGGUAA